rnacentral:rRNA from 1 species
CCUACGGUGAGCUGCAGUGAGGAAUAUUGGUCAAUGGCCGUAAGGCUGAACCAGCCAAGUAGCGUGAGGGAAGACUGCCCUAUGGGUUGUAAACCUCUUUUAUGCGGGGAUAAAGGUGUCCACGUGUGGAUGUUUGCAGGUACCGCAUGAAUAAGGACCGGCUAAUUCCGGGCCAGCAGCCGCGGUAAUACGGAAGGUCCGGGCGUUAUCCGGAUUUAUUGGGUUUAAAGGGAGCGUAGGCCGGUCUUUAAGCGUGCCGGGAAAUUUUGUGGCACAACCAUGAGAGUGCGGCGCGAACUGGAGACCGGGAGUGCGGGGAAGGCAGGCGGAAUUCGUGGUGUAGCGGUGAAAUGCUUAGAUAUCAGGAAGAACCCCAGUGGCGAAGGCAGCCUGCCGCAGCGUUACUGACGCUGAAGCUCGAAAGCGCGGGUAGCGAACAGGAUUAGAUACCCGAGUAGUC